rnacentral:sRNA from 1 species
AGUGUCUAUCAAAGCCUCCUCAGUUUACUGAUACAUUAAACACAGUAUCUGGUCUUACUAAUAUACUAAAUGCUCUUGAUGAAAGAUCGAAACUUCAUAAUGAAACUGCGGAUAUUUUUGUAGGAAAAACUGAUUUGAAUGUGCAAAUGUGUGGACAUAUGGAAAACAAUGGCAAUGUAAGUGAUAAGAUUAGUCCUCAUUCAGAACCUAAUGAAGCAAAUUACUCAGCGAAGCAAAUUGUUACUGGUGAUAAUGAUACAAAUAUAAGUGAACUGAGUCAUGUUGAAAACACAUUGAAUUCUGUUAAAAGUGAAGGCAGAAAUGGAAAUAAUUCUUUGCCUAUUAUUGAUGAUCGGGCAAAUACUGAGCUGUCUCCUAAGGAUGUGGGUGAAACCAAGGUCACUGAUUUUUCUCCUAGAAAUGAUGAAAGAGGGGAUGAUGUUCUUUCACUAAAUGGUGAUCAUGAAAAUACUGUCUGUAUUGAAAAAACUAAA